rnacentral:lncRNA from 1 species
GCAAGUGCAACUCCCUCUUCCCGCCAAAUCCAAACAAAGAUUACUUAGAAGUUUUCUUCUUGGAAAUCCUAAUUUCAACUCUCUCUCUCACUCUCUGUUUUGCCAUUUCUUGGAAUUUUUUUCCUUGUUCUAAUUGAAAACUCAGGAGAUUUGGAUCAAAUUGCUUCAUUGAAUCUUGACGAAGGUAACUUUUUUCUCUCUUUCUUCUUCUUCUUACAAUCAUACAUAUAUAAUGUUGUGAGCAAUUUGUUUCACUUCUUCUGAUAUUACAUCAAGAUUGCUAUUUAUAUAGAUAAUACUAUUAUUGUUUCUUUUUCAAUUUUUUCUUUGGAAAUUGUUUCUUGAUGUAUUUACUCUGAUAAUUUUCUUUGGGUUUUUUCAUGAUUGAGAUCUAAGGCUAAUCCACCUAUUAAAAUUAUUAUAUUUCAUUCGUUGCAUUGUGUCAGUUAUCUUAUUUUCUUAAAAAGGCAUUCUUGUUUUGGGGAAUUAUAUUAGUCUAGGUGAUCUUUAGCUUAUGAAUAUGCCUACUUUGAUGUUGAUUGUGUGGUUGUGUUGAUGCUCGUUAGAGAAAUUUUGCUUCUGUUUUAUUCAGGAUAAUAUCAUCACUUUGGGGAUUUUUAGAAUCGACUUUCCAUUUUCGGUUGUUGUUGUCUAGGAAUUUUAUAUGGUUCUUCAUCAUCACAUGCAUUCUUUGUGUCUGUGACUUUACAUUAUAGUAUAACUGUGUAAGUGUGUGCUCAUACUACACACAUUGAAGUGGCCUAGCAUUUCGAUAAAGAUCUUGUUGACUUGUUGUUGAUGUUACCCUAAGAUUUAAAGUUCACUUUGUUUAGUUUUGUGUACAAUUGGCAGAUAUUUCAGUAAAGCGUUCUCUGGUUUUGCUUUUUUCGUCAUUAUGAACUGAUGUCAAUACUCACCAUAAGUUCGCAAAUAAGUAGAAAGUAACUUAUGGAUGCCUAAAAAAUAAGAUCUUGGUAUAUGUGGAUGGAAGCUUUAUGUUUUGAACUAUACUGCAAUCACCAUUACUUUGAAAUCUAUUAAUAGACAAACUUCUGUAAUUAUUUGAUAAGAAAGUUUUCGACUUAACCUACAAAUUUUGCAUGCAUCUGCAAUUCUAAAUUUAAGAGUAACAUGUAAAUUGAUAUUCUUUGGAGCUGGAAAGAAAACUCAUUACAAAUUGAUUAUUUUGUAGUUCCUACACUUUAACUCAUUAUAUUGUUGAUAUAUCAUUCAGAAUGCAAACUUAUACUGGAAUAAAUGGAAUCUGUGUUCUUUUUAAUGACAUGAACUUUAUUAAUUGUAACACGUAAUUGUUGUUGGGUUCAAUUUAGGCUGUUUUCCCUGAGCUCAAAUCAAUGUUCUAUAAAGAUUUGUCUCUUGGAUUUGAAUUGUCUGUGACAGUUGCUAAUUGCAUGAUCAUUUGCACCCAAAACUGCACUCCACUGCUUAAAUGAUCCUUCCGGUUAUACAUAGCUAAGGCCCAAAAGAUGCGGAUGCAAGUUGUGAUUACGUAGAGAAAAGUCGAACCAGUCCGAAAGGCUUAACCCUGUUACUCCAACUGCACAUACACUCAACUGGAGGGUGAUAGUUUACUUAUGCUAGCCAAGCCUAGACUUUAAAGUCCACGCAUAUCAGUAUCCGUUGAUGCGAUUUAUCGACUAAUAGCAUAUGUAGGUUUCUAGUUUUGAAUUAAAUGAAUUACUAGAGCUUUGUUGCCUAAUAUGUUGAAAAAACAGAGAUUAUGUAAUUGUAUGUUCAUAUUAUAAAGAGAAUUCCCUUUCUUCUUUUUUUUAUCUGAUAUGAGCUUAUUGCUUUUUAGGUGAGUAAAUACUGUGUCAACUACCUGAGGAAUUGAGGCAAAAAGAAAGAUAAUCACUCAAGAAGUGAAUUUUGACUAGGGACUCA